rnacentral:rRNA from 1 species
CCUACGGGUGGCAGCAGUGGGGAAUAUUGCACAAUGGGGGAAACCCUGAUGCAGCGACGCCGCGUGAGUGAGGAAGGAUUUCGGGAUGUAAAGCACUAUCAGCAGGGACGAAAAUGACGGUACCUGACUAAGAAGCCCCUGCUAACUACGUGCGAGCAGCCGCGGUAAUACGUAGGGGGCAAGCGUUCUCAGGAUUUUUUGGGUGUAAAGGGCGUGGAGGCGGGAAAGCAAGACAGAUGUGAAAACUCAGGGCUCAACCCUGGGCCUGCAUUUGAAACUGUUCUUCUUGAGUGCUGGAGAGGCGAGCGGAAUUCCGUGUGUAGCGGUGAAAUGCGUAGAUAUACGGAGGAACACCAGUGGCGGAGGCGGAUUGCUGGACCGUAACUGACGCUGAGGCGCGAAAGCGUGGGGAGCAAACAGGAUUAGAUACCCUUGUAGUC